rnacentral:rRNA from 1 species
CCAGCAGCCGCGGUAAUUCCAGCUCCAAUAGCGUAUACCAAUGUUGUUGCAGUUAGAAAGCUCGUAGUUGGGGGUGGGUGGCGAGGGGGUCUGCCGCGAGGUGGGCGCCGACGCCGCCAUUGCUAUGGGGAGCGGGGUCACUCUCUUUACUGGGAGGGGCACCACCCCACGGUUACUGUGAAUAAAUUAGGGUGUUCCAAGCGGGCUGUUGCUUGCAUAGAUUAGCAUGGAAUAACAGAGUUGGACCUGGGCGCUGUUGGGCAGGAGGUGGCUAGGGAAUGGUUAAUAGGGACGGUUGGGGGCAUUAGUAUUUCAUAGUCAGAGGUGAAAUUCCGGGAUUUAUGAAAGACUGACUUCUGCGAAAGCAUUUGCCAAGGAUGUUUUCAUUGAUCAAGAACGAAAGU